GUGACUAUAGCUCAGUUGGUUAGAGCAUCGGUUUGUGGUACCGAGGGUCGUGGGUUCGAGUCCCAUUAGUCACCCUA
rnacentral:tRNA from 1 species